UACCAGCUCUCCGAGUUGUAGGGAUGAUUAUUGGGCUUAAAGCGUCCGUAGCUGGCUUAGCAAGUCUCCUGUUAAAUUCAGCGACCUAUCGUUGAGCCGCGGGAGAUACUACUAGGCUAGGAGGCGGGAGAGGUCGACGGUACUUUCGGGGUAGGGGUGAAAUCCUAUAAUCCCGGGAGGACCACCAGUGGCGAAGGCUGUCGACUAGAACGCGCUCGACGGUGAGGGACGAAAGCUGGGGGAGCGAACCGGAUUAGAUACCCGGGUAGUCCCAGCUGUAAACUAUGCGGGCUAGGUGUUGGGGUGGCUACGGGCCACUUCAGUGCCGCAUGAAAGCCAUUAAGCCCGCCGCCUGGGGAGUACGGCCGCAAGGCUGAAACUUAAAGGAUUGGCGGGGAGCACCACAAGGCGUGAAGCUUGCGGUUC
rnacentral:rRNA from 1 species